CGCGGGAUUAGAGUUUGAUCCUGGCUCAGAUUGAACGCUGGCGGUAACUUUUAAACAUGCAAGUCGAGCGGUAACAGACAUAAAGAUUCAGCUUGCUGAAUCCGGUGCUGACGAGCGGCGAACGGGUGAGUAACGCGUAGGAAUCUACCCUGUCGUGGGGGAUAACAGUUGGAAACGACUGCUAAUACCGCAUACGCCCUACGGGGGAAAGGAGGGGACCUUCGGGCCUUCCGCGAUUGGAUGAACCUAGGUGGGAUUAGCUAGUUGGUGAGGUAAUGGCUCACCAAGGCAACGAUCCCUAGCUGGUCUGAGAGGAUGAUCAGCCACACUGGAACUGAGACACGGUCCAGACUCCUACGGGAGGCAGCAGUGGGGAAUAUUGCACAAUGGGCGAAAGCCUGAUGCAGCCAUGCCGCGUGUGUGAAGAAGGCCUUCGGGUUGUAAAGCACUUUCAGCGAGGAGGAAAGGUUAAUAGUUAAUAACUGUUAGCUGUGACGUUACUCGCAGAAGAAGCACCGGCUAACUUCGUGCCAGCAGCCGCGGUAAUACGAGGGGUGCAAGCGUUAAUCGGAAUUACUGGGCGUAAAGCGUACGCAGGCGGUUUGUUAAGCGAGAUGUGAAAGCCCCGGGCUCAACCUGGGAACUGCAUUUCGAACUGGCAAACUAGAGUCCU
rnacentral:rRNA from 1 species